UGGGGAAUUUUGGACAAUGGGCGCAAGCCUGAUCCAGCAAUGCCGCGUGUGUGAAGAAGGCCUUCGGGUUGUAAAGCACUUUUGGCAGGAAAGAAAUAGUGCGUGCUAAUACCAUGCGCGAAUGACGGUACCUGCAGAAUAAGCACCGGCUAACUACGUGCCAGCAGCCGCGGUAAUACGUAGGGUGCAAGCGUUAAUCGGAAUUACUGGGCGUAAAGCGUGCGCAGGCGGCUUUGUAAGACGGAUGUGAAAGCCCCGGGCUCAACCUGGGAAGUGCAUUCGUGACUGCAAGGCUAGAGUGUGUCAGAGGGAGGUGGAAUUCCGCGUGUAGCAGUGAAAUGCGUAGAGAUGCGGAGGAACACCGAUGGCGAAGGCAGCCUCCUGGGAUAACACUGACGCUCAGGCACGAAAGCGUGGGGAGCAAACAGG
rnacentral:rRNA from 1 species